rnacentral:rRNA from 1 species
UACGUAGGGUGCAAGCGUUAAUCGGAAUUACUGGGCGUAAAGGGUGCGUAGGCGGGUCUUUUAAGUCAGGGGUGAAAUCCUGGAGCUCAACUCCAGAACUGCCUUUGAUACUGAGGAUCUUGAGUUCGGGAGAGGUGAGUGGAACUGCGAGUGUAGAGGUGAAAUUCGUAGAUAUUCGCAAGAACACCAGUGGCGAAGGCGGCUCACUGGCCCGAUACUGACGCUGAGGCACGAAAGCGUGGGGAGCAAACAGGG